GCCCUAUAAACUGUUUACAAAGCCUAACAUAAGAUGCAUAAUAACGAUUUAAGGUUUUGUUGGUCCUUUGGGUCGUUCUUCUAAAAAAAAAUCAUAUAUAAGUACAUCUAUAUAACAUAAAACAUUUUAAAAACAUUUUAAAAAGUUCAUAUAAAUGGUUUUCCUGUAAAUAUCACCUAAUAACAUUUUAACAGCUUUUUAAUAUUUCAUAUGUUGUCUUAAUAACAUUUCCUGGAAGGAUUUUUGACAUUUUGGGGGUUUUUUUUCAUUAUAAAU
rnacentral:lncRNA from 1 species